rnacentral:rRNA from 1 species
UAAUUAGAUUUGGUUAAUUAAAAAAUUAAUUAUAAAUUUUUUAUGAAUUUGCUAAAAAAUAAAUAACAGAAAAUGAAUUUUAUUUAAUAAUUAAAAAUUAUUGAAAUUUAUAUAAAUAAACUAGCUAAUU